rnacentral:rRNA from 1 species
UACGGAGGGGGCUAGCGUUGUUCGGAAUUACUGGGCGUAAAGCGCACGUAGGCGGCUUUGUAAGUUAGAGGUGAAAGCCCGGGGCUCAACCCCGGAAUUGCCUUUAAGACUGCAUCGCUUGAAUCCGGGAGAGGUGAGUGGAAUUCCGAGUGUAGAGGUGAAAUUCGUAGAUAUUCGGAAGAACACCAGUGGCGAAGGCGGCUCACUGGACCGGUAUUGACGCUGAGGUGCGAAGGCGUGGGGAGCAAACAGG